CCUACGGGUGGCAGCAGUGAGGAAUAUUGGUCAAUGGACGGAAGUCUGAACCAGCCAUGCCGCGUGCAGGAAGACGGCUCUAUGAGUUGUAAACUGCUUUUGUACAAGGGUAAACCUGAAUACGUGUAUUCAGCUGAAAGUACUGUACGAAUAAGGAUCGGCUAACUCCGUGCCAGCAGCCGCGGUAAUACGGAGGAUCCAAGCGUUAUCCGGAUUUAUUGGGUUUAAAGGGUGCGUAGGUGGAUUGGUAAGUUAGAGGUGAAAUGUCCGAGCUUAACUCGGGAAUUGCAUCUAAUACUGUUGGUCUAGAGCGUAGAUGCGGUAGGCGGAAUGUAUGGUGUAGCGGUGAAAUGCUUAGAGAUCAUACAGAACACCGAUUGCGAAGGCAGCUUACCAAUCUAUAUCUGACGUUGAGGCACGAAAGCGUGGGGAGCAAACAGGAUUAGAUACCCGGGUAGUC
rnacentral:rRNA from 1 species